GUGGACACACAGUUUAACAUGAUGUACUAUAGGACAGGACUGCUGCUUUUAACUCUCUGCUGGGCAGGUGUUGAUGGUCAGACUCUGACAGAAUCUGAACCAGUGAUUAAAAGACCUGGAGAAUCUCACAGAUUGACCUGUACAACAUUUGGAUUCACAUUUAGUAGCUUCCAUAUGAACUGGAUCAGACAGGCUCCUGGAAAAGGACUAGAGUGGAUCGCUUUUGUACACACAGGCAGUGCUUCUACCUAUUACUCCCAGUCAGUCCAGGGGAGAUUCACCAUCUCCAGAGAUGACUCCAGCAGUAAACUCUAUCUGCAGAUGAACAGUCUGAAGACUGAGGACACAGCAGUGUAUUACUGUGCACGACAGACACAGUGA